GCCGAGCCCCCGGUCACUGAGCAGGAGGUGGGAAUGGAGGGCGAUGUCCUUUUAUUUUGUGCAACAACAACAACAACAACAACAACAGGAGAUUAAAGGCCGAUUUCCCCCCCGGAGUGUGCGGUGGUCAGUCAGUCAGUCAGUGCUGUCAGAGCAGGAACUGCGGUAAAGUAGUGUGAUGACUGAGUUGUGGAAGAAGAAAGCCAGAGUGAGCACUCCGGUGAGCUGUGGAAAGGAUAACCUGAACUCUGGCAAAAAAAAAAGGAAAGAAAAAACAAUUACUGGCAGAGAAAAAGCACGAUUGAAAGAUCUGCCACGUUCUAAUAAAAUGGCAGAGGAUGCUUGGCCAUUC